UAUUUUUGCUCCCCCCUGUGUUUCUAUUGAUGCACCAAAUGUUGCUUUAUAGCAUACAUUGCAGUUGGACUGAUAGAUAACAAGGUUGUAGUUUCUUCUGUUAUUUCUUUUUUGACAACUUGGAAUGCAAUUUGCGAAGUGAUCAAAUUAUAUGAUCAUCAUCUCUGUCCAUUUGUUUUAAGAUCCCAAUCAGAAAAGUUAAAGAAACUCUGUACAGCAGAAGAAAAGGAGUUGAAUAUUUAAGCAACACAAUUAUUUUUUUGAAGCUUGUUAGAACUUGUAAGAUUCUAUAACUGUGAGGACUCUUCUCGAUUUGAUUGAAUGAUAGAAAAGGUUAUUUGCUCUUCAUAUAUUCUGUUUCUAUGGUAAACUAUUUUUGUUGUUUGACUGUGAGUGGUUCUGAUAUUUUCGGGCUCGUCUUUGAAUUAAUCCUCUCUAAUUUACAGCAAUGUCGCAACGGUCACACUUGCAGGCCAGUUUGCUGAAGCAUUUGGGAUCUUGAUAGCUUGUGAACUCGCAUGUUCCAUUUUGUAGUCUAUGCAAAUGAUGCUUGUAUAUGCUUUGCAGUUUGUGCUACAUCUAUAUCAUUAUAAUCAGGAACAACAACUGCUAUCUUUUUAUGUCCUGCUUCUUGUGGAAGCAUCAUCUGAACCUUAAAAAUUCUGUGCUAAGAACAUUUAGAUUCAUGGCCUGAUUGGCCAAGCUUUGCUUUUUCCAAAAGUAUUUUUCAAAAAAAGUACUUUUGGUUGGAAGCAGUUUGUGUUUGGUUAAUCAUUUUGAAAAACAAUUGAUAACCCUUGUCUAAUACAAUCAAUGGUACUUUAGUUUUUUUUAAUUAUUUUAAUUUUUUCAUUUCUGCUAAUUGUCACAUAAAAGGUAGGACAUACAAUGAGAUAAAACAUAGAAGAUAGCACGAGUUAAUAGCAGGAAUGGCUCAUCUCCAAUGAACAAAAAGUUUGAUUAGUUUUGUUCCCCCUUUUGAUUAGUUUUGUUUCCUUGACCACUAUUUACAUCAAGAUUCAUCUUACUGCAAAUGAGCAGUGUUAUUCUUGGUAUCUUACACACAUUCAAAACAACAUAGACUUCCUUAUUCUUGCUUGAUAUGUGUGUACAUUGAUCUAGGAAUAUGCUGGAAGAGGCACUACUUCUCAUUCGCCAGAAAAUUUUGCAGAACAUCCAAUCGCAGUGAUCAUCUCAACUGAUACCGUUGCCGUCAAAAGUUAAGAGUAGAGGUUGAAGGAAGAAUGAUGUUUCAUUGAGAUGGUUCAGCUGCUUAGCUUUCACUUCCAAAGUCGAGAUCUUUAGGCAGGAUAUCCGUUGUAGGCUUGUGGCUAUCCGGAGUGAAGAUUCACUACAAAAAGGCAUGUUUGGGGCAGGGAGUCCAUGACAAUAGCUUGCCAGGUGCGAGGUUCAAAUCUGUGAGCGUAGCGAUGCGGCAAACAAUUUUUGAGAAUGUCAGCCAUUAGAAUCGCCUUUGUGAUCCAGUGGUGGCUCAAGGGGAGACUAAAAAAGCUUCGGUUUUAGCGCCAAAAUUUUGGGGCCGCUUUGUUCUCCUUUGAUCCCUAUGCGGCUAUACACCUGCAUUAAAAUAGUAUUCUAUGUUGCAUGUUCAAGUCGUUUAGUGUACUUCCCUUGAGGACUGCACUCAGUUGAAGUGUGUGUCAUAUCAGCCAUCUGCUGUGGCGUAACAAGAUAUUGUUUGUAAUGAUGAAGCUUUGCUCUUGGGUGAGAAUUAGUUUCGAGAAUGAAUUUGAACUUUAUAUUGAAGAAAAUAUAACGGCUUAGCAUUUUCCAUCA